UAGGGAAUCUUCCGCAAUGGACGAAAGUCUGACGGAGCAACGCCGCGUGAGUGAAGAAGGAUUUCGGUUCGUAAAACUCUGUUGUUAGGGAAGAAAAAAUGUAUAGUAACUAUAUACAAAAGAGACGGUACCUAACCAGAAAGCCACGGCUAACUACGUGCCAGCAGCCUCGGUAAUACGUAGGUGGCAAGCGUUGUCCGGAAUUAUUGGGCGUAAAGCGCGCGCAGGUGGUUUAGAAAGUCUGAUGUGAAAGCCCACGGCUCAACCGUGGAGGGUCAUUGGAAACUAAUAAACUUGAGUGCAGGAGAGAAAAGUGGAAUUCCGAGUGUAGCGGUGAAAUGCGUAGAGAUUAGGAGGAACACCGGUGGCGAAAGCGGCUUUUUGGCCUGCAACUGACACUGAGGCGCGAAAGCGUGGGGAGCAAACAGG
rnacentral:rRNA from 1 species